GCCCGGGUGGCGGAAUUGGUAGACGCUACGGACUUAAAAUCCGUUGAGAUUUUUCUCGUGCCGGUUCGAGUCCGGCCCUGGGGACCA
rnacentral:tRNA from 1 species